rnacentral:rRNA from 1 species
UCUAACCUACGGGGCGCAGCAGUGGGGGAUAUUGCACAAUGGGGGGAACCCUGAUGCAGCGACGCCGCGUGGGUGAAGGAGCGUUUCGGCGCGUAAAGCCCUAUCGGCAGGGAAGAAGAUGACGGUAGCUGACCAAGAAGCCCCGGCUAACUACGUGCCAGCAGCCGCGGUAAUACGUAGGGGGCAAGCGUUAUCCGGAUUUACUGGGUGUAAAGGGGGCGCAGACGGCAAUGCAAGCCAGGAGUGAAAGCCCGGGGCCCAACCCCGGGAGGGCAUUUGAAACUGUCUGGCUAG